AACGAACGCUGGCGGCAUGCCUAACACAUGCAAGUCGAACGAUUGCCUUCGGGUGAUAGUGGCGCACGGGUGCGUAACGCGGGGGAAUCUGCCCUUAGGUUCUGAAUAACACCUGGAAACGACUGCUAAUACCGGAUGAUAUCGCGAGAUCAAAGAUUUAUCGCCUUAGGAUGAGCCCGCGUUGGAUUAGGUAGUUGGUGGGGUAAACGCCUACCAAGCCGACGAGCCAUAGCUGGUCUGAGAGGAUGAUCAACCACACUGGGAAUGAGACACGGCCCAGACUCCUACGGGAGGCAGGAGUGGGGAAUAUAGGACAAUGGGAGCAGGCCUAAUCCAGCAAUGCGCCGUGAGUGAUGAAGGCCCUAGGGUUGUAAAGCUCUUUUACCCGGGAAGACAAUGACUGUACCGGGAGAAUAAGCCCCGGCUAACUCCGUG
rnacentral:rRNA from 1 species